UUCGCAAUGCCCGAAAGGGUGACGCGGCGACGCCGCGUGAAGGAUGAAGGCCCUCUGGGUCGUAAACUUCUUUGGCAGGGGAAUAACAGGUUGCUACAGGCGACCGUGAAUGUACCCUGAGAACAAGCAUCGGCUAAAUACGUGCCAGCAGCCGCGGUAAUACGUAUGGUGCGAACGUUGUUCGGAAUCACUGGGCAUAAAGAGCACGUAGGCGGUCGAGUCAGUCCAUUGUGAAAUCCCCCGGCUUAACCGGGGAACUGCAGUGGAUACUGCUUGACUUGAGUACAGGAGGGGAGAGUGGAAUUCCUGGUGGAGCGGUGAAAUGCGUAGAUAUCAGGAGGAACGCCGGCGGCGAAAGCGACUCUCUGGUCUGUUACUGACGCUGAGGUGCGAAAGCUAGGGGAGCAAACGGGAUUAGAUACCCCGGUAGUCCUAGCCCUAAACGAUGGGCACUAAGUAGAGGGGUUUUA
rnacentral:rRNA from 1 species